AUUUGCCAGAACAACUCAUAGAACUCAGGAAAGUGCUAUACUUAGAAUCACAAUUUUAUUAUAACAAAGGGAUACAAAUUAGAACCAGCCAAAGGUGCCAGCACAUACGGCAGAAUCUGGGAGGGCUUCAAACAUGAAGUUCCCAUGUCCUCAGGGAUGUGUUACCCUCCUGGCAUCAAUGUGUGACAAAAUGCACAGAAUAUUGCUAAACCAGGAAGCUUACCUGCACUUUGGUGUCCAGAGUUUUUACUGAGGCUUGAUCACAUAGUGCCCAUAUGGCUGACCUUCAGUCUCCAGCUGCUCCCAGAGGUUGGAGCUGACGUGGUGUGUCCCAACCCACCUCAUAGAUCACAUUGUUAGACUGUUGGGUGACCGAGCCCCCAGGAAAACAAAGACAGUUCUAGGAGGCAGGACAUCCCAGGGGCCUACAGAUCCCCUCCCAGUAGCCGAAAGCAAAGGCCAGACAUGUCUCUGGUUAAUUCUUUACUACACACCAUGCACCUGCUGAUAGACAUUGAGAGAGCUGCCAGUUUGGGGCUGUUAGGAAUUAAGCUGAUGGUACAGGCAACAACAUAGGUGAAUCUCAAAAACAUUAGGCCAAGUGAAAGAAGCACAUCCUUAUGAUUCCAUUCAUAUCAAACCAUUGAAAAGGCAAAUCUAAUCUAUGGUGAUGGUAGGACAGGCUACAGCUACAUGAUUUGUGGGGCCUGGUGCAUUUUAUUGUAUGCAAAUUACACCUCAAUGAAGUUGGUUUUUAAAAACCCUACUCCCACUGACUGAGCCCUGCCUCUAUGCCAGCCAUUUUGCUAAACAUUUUACAAUAUUAGUGCUUUUAUGCUCAGAUAGCACUGCAAGGUGGGCAUUAUAAACCCUAUUUUCCAGAUGAAGACAUUGCAGCUUAGAGAGAAAAGUAGCUUGCCCACAGUAUCACCUGGUAAGUGACAGGUCUGAAUUUGAACCCAGGCCUAUUAGGCCCCAAAUGCCCUGAACCAGUGUCUGCCAGCACCCUGUUCUCUACUCAGCUCCUCCCUGGGUUGUGUUUGGCUUUUCUGUUGUGUUUUUCUGGAUCUUUCUACCCUCUACAAGUCCCUAAGUUCAGAGAUGGCAUCAACACGGAAAAAAGGUGUCCACUGUGGGGUCCAUUUGUGCUCUCCUUUUCAGACUUUUUCAUAUGCAUAUAUCUUCAGACACAAGUACGUAAAGUUUUUCUUUUGUUAUUUUUUAUAGAAUGGGGAUCUUACUGUACAAACUGUAGCAUGAUUUUUUUUUUUCAUUUAACAAUGUUUUAUGAGUUAAAAUUUCCUGAACUCUUAGAUGGUGUUAUCUGAGUUACUCAUUGGUUGCUCUUUCAGGGCAAAGAAGGAGAGAAAGUUUUAAAGUUUUCUGAAGUGUCUGCUGUAGAUGAUAACCCUGCUGUCAGUCCUGCACAAGGCUCUCUUAUUGAGAUUUAGGAUGGUUGUAACUUCUCCAAACUGACACGAAAGGAGAAAUCCUUUAUCGAGUACAUUCAGCUCUGUUUUUAGAGUGGUUGUAUUUUCUUAAGGACAACUCUAAAGGGUAAAAUAUGAAAUGUUUGACACUAAUUUUAUAUAUAUUAUAUGCUAAUUUAUAUCUACAUCUCUAUAUAUUUAUAUCUAUGUCUAUCUAUCUAUCUAUCUAUCUAUCUAUCUAUCUAUCUAUAUCAUGAACUUAAAUAUUCUCCAAGAACCUCUUUAAAGGCUGCCUGUAUCCCAGGAUGUAGGCAUGCUAUAAUUUAUUUAGCCAAUUUCCCUUUAUUGCAUAGCUCACCUCCCCCUAGUCUUUGAGAAUUAUAAAUCAUGCAGCAAUGGACCCAACCACACAUAAAUGUUGUAUUUUAACUUUAAGUACUAACUAAAAUGAGUGUGAAAUUUGUCAGAAAAGACGAAGAAUUUAGAAGUUCAUGGUGGGGGGCAGUUUGCGGGAGGUGGUCUCAGGUUAGAUGGUGUCUGGGCUCCUUAAGAACAGAAACAUCCCGGGCUCACCCACAGAUGUGGCAGCACUUCUGCACUAAAUCGAAGUCCACGUUGGUUCUUCGCAGCUUAUAGUCCCAUAUGGUUUGUUGGUCUCUCAGGCAGCUCUCUGGGUCUCACCCUGAUAUUUUUGGUCUGAGAAAGAGGCAAAAUCUGCUGCCAAGAGGAAUCACAGAGGUGCAUCAAAUCCUACAGUUCUGUUUUCAUUUUCCUGCAGGCAACCUGUUGCAAUGUUGUCUGCGUGACAAUAAAUAGAACAUACGGACGAAUUUUAAAUUCUCUCUGGGAUCAGACAUCGGUGAGGCGGGAUCUGAGUUUAACCCAGUGCGAGAGUAAACUGCACAAAAGGAUCCUGGCCACAAUCAGAAGACAGAGCUCCCCGUGGGCCGGUGGGUGACAGGGCUGCCCACUGAGGGGAGCACACAGCUGCGAGGCCACCCAUGUGGGUAGCAGAUGCUGUGAGCACUCAGCUUGGAUUCCCUUGCAUCCCUCUUACCCAACUUCUCUUCGUAUCCUCAUGUGAUGGAGAGAGAGAGAGAGAGAAAGAGAAAGAGAGAGAGAGGAGAGAGAGAGGGGAGAGAGACACAGCAGGGGUUGGGGGAGAGAGGGAGGGAGGGAGAAAGAGAGAGAGAGAGAGAGAGAGAGAGAGAGAGAGAGGGAGAGAGGAGCAAGCUUUCUGGUGUCUUUUCUUAUAAGGACACUAAUCCCAUCAUGAGGGACCCACCUUCAUGACCUCAUCUCAACCUAAUUACCUCCCAAAGGCCCCCCCCCCCCAAUACCAGCACAUCUGGGGCUAGGGCCUCGACAUAUGAAUUUGGGGGGUGUAAUGAGUCUAUAGGGGUGCCCUCACUUGGCAUUUUCUCCUUUCUGGUCAUGCUUCUCUCACCCCUUACGCCUUUCACCAGGGAGUACUUUCUUAAUAAAUCGCGUACACACAAGUCCCUGUCUAGAGUCUGCUUCUGGAGAACCCGAGCCAAGGUACCGUGCUUGUGAAAAGUGAACUAGAAAAGGUGUUGAAAGAGCUUUACACAGCUUAAGCCAGCAGCCAUGGGAGGACCGAGUGCGGUCAGGGCAGAGAAACGGCUUGGAACAGCGUGUGCUGGGGAGGAAGGCCACCACGAUUGCGCAAGGAGUUCUAAAGAUGUAUCAACAUUUGCUCCCAAGUAGGGAAUAAAUUGAAAUCCCCACCUCCUCUUCCGCCUCCCAUCCCGCCUGUCUCUCUGGGUUGUGCUUCUCAAAUGGAUUGUUCACACACACCCCUCCGCAGGGAUGUGUGAGCGCAUGUCGGGAGUGCAAGAAACAACAGGAUCAAUAUGAGACUUCUUCAUGGAGUAUGGACUUCACUUAAAAGUUUCUGGGGUAAACAGUAAUGUACUCUAACCAAUAAGUAACUUAAAACACUGGCUUAAAAAAAAAAAACCCAGAUAGACAAUUGAAUUUAAAAUUCAAAUGGAUUUUUAAAAUUUAAUCUCCAGUUGUUACUGACCCCUUUGAGACCAUACUCCAGAUUUUCAAGGAACUGCAAUUUUGUUGGUGGACCUAACUUAAAAAACACCCUACAUUUUCCAGCUUCCCUAGGAGAGAGGGUGGCUGAGUGUGAGUUCUGGCCAACGAGACCCUGGAAGCGACCACAGGGCAACCAUGGGGAAAAUGCCAAGAACUGGCUGAGACCUCUGUCCUGUUAUCCUUGAGUCCUUGAACCACGCCCUUAAGUGCCUGUCUCUGAACUUUUUGUAACAAGAGAAAAAUAAAACUCCUAAUUCAUUUAAACCACUGUUUUUCAAGUUUCCAUUAUACCUGAUGGCAGUUCUUCAUUGAUACAAUAUCCAACGCUGGGAGAAAUUUUCAACAUUUCUCAGUUGUCUGUGAACUUUUACUUUCUGUCUUUCACCUUUUACAAAAAUGUCACUGCCACGUCUUGAGUCUUCGAGUCUCAUCUUAUCGUGCUCUAUUUGAGGAUGCUGAAGGAUGGAGAAAAAGCUGAAGGGAUCAGAUGCCUGGGCAGGAGAAGGAAUCCACCCAGAUGCAUCUAAGAAUGAAGACCCAGGGCCCCCUGUCCACGAGCAAGGGAAAGCCCGUGUGACUCUCCUUAUCCCAUCUUCCCACCUCCUCCAGCUGCCCUUAUGAAGUCCACUAGAAAGCGGGGAGCCUUGGGGUAACAUAGACGUAGUUCUGUUCGUCUCUGUAUCCUUUACUAGCCACGUAUCUCCUAGUUUCUCAUCCCUAAUCGUACCAACUUUACCAUAUUACUGGGCUGAUGACACGUAAUAAUGCAUAUUCGGUGCCUGCACAGCCCCUGCCUUCCCACAUAGCACCACCAACACCACACGCACAUAGACGGCAUUGUCCUGUACAAUUUUCAACUUUUAUUUAAAUGCUAUCAUUUCUAUAUCUCCUUUGGCAACUUGUGUUCACGCAACAUUUUCUUUAUGCAUAUUGAUAAGCGUAGCUGUGUAGUACUCCGUUGCAUGAGUAUAUCAUGAUUUAUUUCUUCAUUUUGCCUACUGAUGGACAUCUAGGAUGGUCUCUAUUUUUCAUUCUUACCAACAGUGCUGAAUGGACACUCAUAUUCACGUAGGUGAGGGUAUCUACCUAAAGAGGAACUGGGGGCCUUAGAGAAUUAACACCUGCAACUUUAAUAGUGCUCAAUUUCUCUCCAAAGUAGUAGAUCGAUUUAUUCUCUCAUCAGCAGCAUAUAGACAUCCUCUUGCUCCACUUUCUUGACAACACUUGGUAUUCUUACUUUUUUUCCUUUUUGUCAACUAAUGGGUAGGCUUUGGGGGACCCUAACCCAUAAGACUACUGCUCCUUUCCCAAGCUCUGAGCCAAAUGGGAAAUAAGACAAAGGGCUCGGCAGAUGGAGAAGCAAACACCACCUUUACCGGCAAUAAAGUUGGGUUACAAUGAGAGCCAGAGAACUUGCUAGGCCCCAGAACAGCCCACUCGUGGAAAGAUUGAAUCUGCAGCAUAAUCACACUUACCUGGGCUGCUGGAUCGUGCUGGUUUAGGUGGCGAGGGAGAGCAAAAGAGACCAAACUCCUUGCAUUCAGGAUCUUUUUUAGAUAAGUUCCACCCAGCAGAAAAACAUGGGCCAAAGACCCCCCCAACUAGGUAACUCAUUCCAUCUCCAUGGGGAGGGGGAAGGGUAAGACAAGAGGCUGUGAAUAUUUAGGGCAAUCUUCCUUUUUAAAGUCAACAUCAGGAUUGGGGAAGAAACGUGUUUCUCUCAGCCAGUAUGAAAUGGCAUCUUUGUUUCUGGUUGCAUUUCUCUGAUUGCUGGUGAGGUUGAGCAAAUUGUCAUGAGUUUACCAGCCACUGAAGCUUCCUCUUCCGUGAACUGCCUAUUCCUCUUCUUGACCCAUUUUUCUGUUGUGUUGUUUGUCUUUCUCUUACGGAUUUAUAUGCAAUAUUUAUCUAUUCUUAACACCAAAUUUCUGUCAGCAAUACAUAUUGCUAAUAUAUUAUCUCUGUCUUUGAGUUGUGUUUUCACUUAUUUGAGAUGAAAUAGAAGUAUGUGAAAACUGAAGUUUUUUGUCUUAAUGUAGUCAAAUACUUUUUCAAUCCUUCCCUUUAAGGUUCAUGGUGUUUGCGUCUUAAGAAAUUCUUUACUUCCUUUUACUGGCUAUGGUAGCAAGAGUUUCAGGGUGUGUAUGUGCUCAGUUGCUUCUGUCACAUCCCAAGGAUGGGAAGCAAAAGUCUGUAGUUCUGAGGGCCAACCCUGGAAAGAGGAAAGGCAUGGAGGAAGAAAGAGAGAGAGUUGGAGGACUGUCGGCACCAGCCCCUACACUGAGCUAGUCCUCAACAGCACGAUUUCUAGAGUUCCGCUGGACUCAGGCCCCAUAGCCCCAGGAGGAUGCUGAGUCACGAUCCCUGGCCCCUGGGAUAAGAGAGCUCCUCAGGCCACAGCAACCAACAGGCCAGGGAAGACCUCUGUCCUUGGGCAUGAGGAAUCUCUUAAGACAGAGAGGCCAAGAUUCCCCUGGAGCAUGGUAAGGACCGCGCACAGAAAGUAAGCACACUCUGAAGGCAACUCUGAAUCUUUGUCCAGGAUGGUCCUUUCCUUUUAAGGACAGAGUUUUUCCCAUCCACAUUGGGAAUUGUCUUCCCGCGGCCUGCCUCUGAGAGGUUUGGGGAGGUGGCAGCUGAGACUCGACAAGCUCUGUGUCCAUCCAGGUAAGAAGGGGUACAAGGGGACCUGAGUGGGCUUGUGAAUUCCAAGUGAGCUGAGAUGGCUGCAAGGAUGAGCCAUCUCCCGGAAUAGGAUGUGGUAAGGAACAUUGUGCUGAAUUUUCAUCUGGAGGGCUAUUUUCUCCACAUCAUCACUUCUGCUCACGCAUUCCCCGAGAUGCCUCUAACGAAAUCAUCUUCCCUCUCUCAUCUGCAGCUUCUAAGUCUUGAAGUCACCUGGCACCAGCACCUCCUGGGCUGUGUCACCACCUCCCCCUUUUCACCCAGGAUGAGCUCAAUCAGCACCAAGCUGACCUGAACCUCCAGGCUACAGGAGGUUUCCCUCGAUGGUCUUCUUCACCCGGCAUGGACCGGCCCUCCAUCCAAGGACGGUUCUCCAGUGCCUUAUCCUCUCUUCUAAAUAGGUGUUUUCUUCCCAGCCCUUCCCCCCACCAAACUCCUUAUUACUUCUUUGUUUUUUAAAAUCUACAAUUUUUUCCCCCUGGGAAAGAUUCACCCUGAGCUAACAUCUAUUGUCAAUCUUCCUCUAUUUUUUAGUAUGUGAGCCACCAGCACAGCAUUGCUGCUAACAGAGUCGUGUGGGUCCAUACCUGGGAACUGAACCCAGGCUGCUGAAGCAGAUCACGCUGAACUUAACCACUAGGCCACUGGGGCUGGUCCCUUCCUCUCUUUUUUUUUUCCCACCCCAAAGCCCAGUACAUAGUUGUAUGUUGUAGUUGUAGCUCCUCCUAGUUCUUCUGUGUGAGCCGCUGCCACAGCAUGACUACUGACAGAUGAGUGGUGUGGUUCUGGGCCCGGGAACCAAACCUGGGCCACCAAAGCAGAGUGUGCCAAACUUUAACCACUAAGCCAUCAGGGCUGGCUCCCACCAAACUCUUGAUAAUUUACAUCACAACCCAAAUGGUUUUUGCUACAGUUAGCAGAUCAUUGAUGUCAUCUUCCCAGGGAUGCAACAAUCUUGCUUCUCAUCAGCUCCCACCUCCCACCUAGCCCCAGCCCCUCUUCCCCAGAGUCCUUGUUCCCCUUCGGUGAACCCAAUUUAGCUGAGACACAUCAGGGGGUGCCAAUGGUCUGUGAAUUAUGGUGAGUUUCCUAAAGGUUAUGGGAGUUGAACGGGAAUUUCCCUAACAUAAUCGAAAGGAAUUAUGAACACAUUUUAAUAUAAUAAAAGCAGAUUUGUGUAAUGUGUAAUGUGUCUGUUUCUUGCCCCAGGGAAGGCCUGGCUGGCUGGAGCUCUGCCUUCCCUCCCUGACCCUUUUUCUCCCAUCUUCAUCCUGUAGUUUGUCAUGGUAACCAGUAGGUGGCUGCAAUUAUACAUACCCGCACAUGUGUGCGCACACACACACACACACACACACUCUCUCUCUCUCUCUCUCCAAGCUAUUCAUUUUCAUUUACAAAGUUGCCAAAAAUAAAUGAAUGAGUG
rnacentral:lncRNA from 1 species